rnacentral:tRNA from 1 species
GAAAUAUGAUUAAUCAAAUAUAAGCUUCUAACUUAAUAUUUAAGCGAUGAAAUUUCGUUUAUAUUUCU